AGGGCAAAACAUGUCAAGCAUGCUACUUUCUACAGAAUGUCUACUGGCAAAGGACUAGCAAAUGAGGCUUUCAUAGAGGGAAAUAUGGUAAAUACACAAGCUAUUCAGGAGCUUCUGUUAGUAACGUGGCUAACUGACAGCAUGAGUACAGACAUGACUACUGUACCGUGGUAAUCACGAAGAAGCGUAAUCAAAGCCAAACCAAAGGAAAAAAAAAUAAAGCUUGCAAGUGUGAAGUGAAGAGACAAAGUACAGCAAAUGUCACUGAUGACUGGUGGCUUUAAAGAAGACAUUUUUGAACAUCUUGUGAGCAAGAGUGUUUACCUUUGAUGCCUCUUGCUGGGCUUCUAACCUGCUUACACAGGACCUAGGACAAGGCAGCUCUUAGAAGUGCAGAACAACCUCUGCUCCUGGUGGGAUGAAAGAAUCAAGAGCGGCACCCGUAUGCUGUUAGAAUUAGCCUGCCUGCAAAGUAAUGCUGGAAAAUGUGCAGGUAUGAGAAUAAUUAAAUGGACAACGCUGAUUUAGACAAAGCAGCAACUUUUCUAACACAAAUCUAUUCCAGAUUGCAACUAAGCUUUCAACAGCUUUCGCCUUCUUUGAAUUCUCUGUGGACCAUCAUAACAUCAGUAUCAAUGGAUGAUAGGAGCAUUUUUCACGCUGGAUUAACAUUAGCAGACAGAUUCAAAGACCUCAGGACCAGAACUAUGUGGCACCAUCAGAUGCAAGAUGUCUCUGUGCGCCUGACAGCACAGAACUAAGGAAUUGUAGCACUGGUACAAAACUGUUUCAGUCACACCUUAGCCCUGUAAUACAUGAGCAGUUCGGAGCUUUAUCAUGCGCAGUGAGCUUUCUUUUUACCCCUACCUUUAAAACACUGGAAAAGUGAGGGAAUUCCUUUGUACAAAGUAAUAUUUCAAUGGCAUUCCCCUCAGGAUGUCUGAGUGGCUCUGACAGGGAGCCAAGAUUUGCCGGCUGCUUUCCACCUGAGAGCACAGGUGAUGUGCCAGAGGUGGGCAGAGAAAGGGAGCGCAGGGCACGGGCACCUCGCCUGGGGAAGGGUCCCUUCAAGGAGCCUGGGAGCAGCAAGGAAGGCUGAGGUGAGCCCAGGUGUAACGAGACCUCCAGGCGCUCCAACACAACAGCCACUUUCCAUCUGGCACGGAUUUCAGGGAAAAUCAAAGUUAAAUUCUGAAGUUUUGGCUAAAGACACCCGUGAAUCCACCAUUAGCAUUUGACUACAGGCUACGAUGUAAAAGGCAAAGCAAAAAUGGCAAAUUCAGGGGAAGAAAAUCCAAUGCCACAUCUGUAAGACCUGCCCAAAAAAUCAAGACAGUUUGUCAAAAGAAUUUGCCUCAUCAGACUUCUGGAUUUAAAAAAAGAGGCUGGCACGAUCUUCAUGAUGUGAAAGUGAGUGUGCGUGAGAUUGGCAAGAAGAAUCAAAUCCUUUUGCAGUCUGGGAGCAGAAACCAGUGCAAGUGGGCAAAUCAUCCUUACUCCUAACAUAACAUCAGAAUGGCUGAACCAGGCCAGAGCAGUGCAAGGAUAUUUCACAUCUGGUAGCACACCCUUUGGUGCUGGGAGCACAGGGGCUUCCUCAGCUUUCAUGUAACUGACUGAGUUCACACAAUCCCCUGCAAUCCAGCCCUGAGAGGUAGCCAGGACAGAAAAACAUGUUGGUAAGCAAGCUGGGGAGCCACUGCAACCCUGGGGAAGCAGGGCUGCCCCAGGAGACAUCAGGAUUCAAAGGUCAAGCAGGAAGCUGAAAAGCAAACUUGCUUUACCACAUUCUUCCCCACUGAUAGCACUAGGAAUUGCACUGGCUGGGAUUAUUUUGCCUUGCCUCUGCUCUGCAUGACUCACUACUCAUUUCUUUCCUGUAGGGUUAGGUAGGACAUAAC